rnacentral:rRNA from 1 species
UACACUCCUACGGGAGGCAGCAGUGGGGAAUUUUGGACAAUGGGCGAAAGCCUGAUCCAGCAAUGCCGCGUGAGUGAAGAAGGCCUUCGGGUUGUAAAGCUCUUUUGUCAGGGAAGAAACGGUGAGAGCUAAUAUCUCUUGCUAAUGACGGUACCUGAAGAAUAAGCACCGGCUAACUACGUGCCAGCAGCCGCGGUAAUACGUAGGGUGCAAGCGUUAAUCGGAAUUACUGGGCGUAAAGCGUGCGCAGGCGGUUUUGUAAGUCUGAUGUGAAAUCCCCGGGCUCAACCUGGGAAUUGCAUUGGAGACUGCAAGGCUAGAAUCUGGCAGAGGGGGGUAGAAUUCCACGUGUAGCAGUGAAAUGCGUAGAUAUGUGGAGGAACACCGAUGGCGAAGGCAGCCCCCUGGGUCAAGAUUGACGCUCAUGCACGAAAGCGUGGGGAGCAAACAGGAUUAGAAACCCUUGUAGUCCCA